GAUGAACGCUGGCGGCGUGCCUAAUACAUGCAAGUCGAGCGAACAGACGAGGAGCUUGCUCCUCUGACGUUAGCGGCGGACGGGUGAGUAACACGUGGAUAACCUACCUAUAAGACUGGGAUAACUUCGGGAAACCGGAGCUAAUACCGGAUAAUAUAUUGAACCGCAUGGUUCAAUAGUGAAAGACGGUUUUGCUGUCACUUAUAGAUGGAUCCGCGCCGCAUUAGCUAGUUGGUAAGGUAACGGCUUACCAAGGCGACGAUGCGUAGCCGACCUGAGAGGGGUAUCGGCCACACUGGAACUGAGACACGGUCCAGACUCCUACGGGAGGCAGCAGUAGGGAAUCUUCCGCAAUGGGCGAAAGCCUGACGGAGCAACGCCGCGUGAGUGAUGAAGGUCUUCGGAUCGUAAAACUCUGUUAUUAGGGAAGAACAAAUGUGUAAGUAACUAUGCACGUCUUGACGGUACCUAAUCAGAAAGCCACGGCUAACUACGUG
rnacentral:rRNA from 1 species